GUAUAAGUCAAUUACUUAUUCCUUCUCUGUGAAAUUAAUAUUCUGCAGUUAAUAUAAAAAUUAUUUUUGUAAAGAAUUUUAGAGAUGGGAAGCAAUGCAUGAAAGUUGUUGUUUAGUUGUUUUUCAGCCAUGUCUGGCUCUUUGUGAUCCUAUUUGGGAUUUUCUUGGCAAAGAUACUGGAAUAAUUUACUGUUUCCUUCUCUAGCUCAUUUUACAGAUGAGGAAACUGAAGCAAACAGGGUUAAUUGACUUGCCCAGGAUCACACAGCUAGUGAGUGUCUGAGACCAAUUUGGAACUCAGAAAGAUGAGUCUGAGGCCUGGCACUCUAUCCACUGUGCCAUCUAGCAGCCUAUGAAGGUUGGAAAUUAUUAUUAUUAUAUCACAGAAAACUAAAGUUACAUCAUAGGUUUUCUGUGACCUCACAAGCACCUCUGGAUUUGCUGUCAUAGUUACCAUGUAGCUGUUGGAACUCAGGUGCUUUGUAAUGUUACUGCAUUGGGAAAAUCACUUCACUGCCCUAGCUUCAGCCAGGAGAACUCAAAGACAGAUGAUCCCAAGGCUGAAUUGUAACCACAGGUGCUGCGACAAAGAACACUUUAAAGAUGCAUAAAAGUCUGUUUAAAGUGAAGAGAAAGAACUGGAUAAAAUAAUGAGGUAAGGAAAGCUUUUAUUUCUCACCUAAAUAAAAUGAAUCUGAAUCUUAAAUUUUGUUGCA
rnacentral:lncRNA from 1 species